rnacentral:tRNA from 1 species
GGAUAUAUAGCUUAACAAGAGCAUAGCGGUGAAGUUGCUAAGGUAUUAUUUAUAAUUCUAUCCA